rnacentral:rRNA from 1 species
AACGAACGCUGGCGGCAGGCCUAACACAUGCAAGUCGAACGCCCCGCAAGGGGAGUGGCAGACGGGUGAGUAACGCGUGGGAACCUACCUUUCGGUGCGGAAUAACUUCGGGAAACCAAAGCUAAUACCGCAUACGCCCUACGGGGGAAAGAUUUAUCGCCGAUAGAUGGGCCCGCGUCGGAUUAGCUAGUUGGUGAGGUAACGGCUCACCAAGGCUACGAUCCGUAGCUGGGCUGAGAGGAUGAUCAGCCACACUGGGACUGAGACACGGCCCAGACUCCUACGGGAGGCAGCAGUGGGAAUAUUGGACAAUGGGCGCAAGCCUGAUCCAGCCAUGCCGCGUGAGUGAAGAAGGCCUUAGGGUUGUAAAGCUCUUUUAGUGGGGACGAUAAUGACGGUACCCACAGAAUAAGCCCCGGCUAACUUCGUGCCAGCAGCCGCGGUAA